rnacentral:rRNA from 1 species
UACGAAGGGUGCAAGCGUUACUCGGAAUUACUGGGCGUAAAGCGUGCGUAGGUGGUGAGUUAAGUCUGUCGUGAAAGCCCCGGGCUCAACCUGGGAAUGGCGAUGGAUACUGGCUCGCUAGAGUGCGGUAGAGGAGAGUGGAAUUCCCGGUGUAGCAGUGAAAUGCGUAGAGAUCGGGGAGGAACAUCAGUUGCGAAGGCGGCUCUCUGGACCAGCACU